rnacentral:rRNA from 1 species
UACGUAGGGGGCAAGCGUUGUCCGGAUUUAUUGGGCGUAAAGAGCGUGUAGGCGGCCAGAUAGGUCAGCUGUGAAAACUCGAGGCUCAACCUCGAGACGUCGGUUGAAACCAUCUGGCUAGAGUCCGGAAGAGGAGAGUGGAAUUCCCGGUGUAGCGGUGAAAUGCGCAGAUAUCGGGAAGAACAUCCGUGGCGAAGGCGGCUCUCUGGGACGGUACUGACGCUGAGACGCGAAAGCGUGGGGAGCGAACAGG